GUCUAAACAAAGGGCAAGAGAGAAGGAAAAUAAAUACCACACUUUCAUUCCCAAACAGAGACUUAUUUUCUUCAUUGUUUACAAAAAUUGAACAAAUUUGAAAUUUCUGCAAUGUUCACCUGACAUCAAGAAUCAUUUCCAGGCCCACUCAUCAAAACGUCAGAAUCAGAUUCAUGUAAACAAAUCAAUCCAUAAAAUUAUUGGAAUUUAGUCAACAAAAUCGAAUGGCGUCGGCAAAGCCACCAACACU
rnacentral:misc_RNA from 1 species